rnacentral:tRNA from 1 species
GGGACUGUAGCUCAGUGGUAGAGUUCCUGCCUAGCAUGCAUGAGGCACUGGGUUCCAUUCUCAGCACCA